rnacentral:rRNA from 1 species
UUCUUAAAGAAUUAAUUUUAAGUAAAAUCUGCUCAAUGAUAUUUAAUAGCCGCAAUUUCUGUGCUAAGGUAGCAUAAUCACUUGUCUUUUAAUUUAAGAAUAGAAUGAAAGAUUUAACAUUUAAAUUUCUUUUUUAAAUUUAUAUUAUUAAAUUAUACUAAAUAUAAAAAUAUAUUUAUAUAUAAAAAAGACAACAAGACCCUAUUGAACUUUACUAAAGUUUAAUUGGGGAAAUUUUUUAAUAAAUAUUUUAAUAUUUUAUUUUUAAAAAAUAACUAAUAAAAUUAAUAUAUAUAAGUUACCAUAGGGAUAACAGCAUAAUUAAUUUUUAAAGUUCUUAUUUAAAAUUUAGUUUAUGACCUCGAUGUUGAAUAUUUUUCUUAUAUAAAGCAAAAAUUUAUAAAGAAAGUCUGUUCGACUUUUAAAUUUUUACA